rnacentral:tRNA from 1 species
UCUCGGUGGUCUAAAGGCUUAGGACGCUCGCACGGAAUGCAAGAGAUCCGGGUUCGACUCCCGGCCGAGGCA